rnacentral:lncRNA from 1 species
CAGUGGCUCACACCUGUAAUCCCAGCACUUUGGGAGGCUGAGGCAGGUGAAUUACAAGGUCAGUAAUUCGAGACCGGCCUGGCCAACAUGGUGAAACCCCGUCUCUACUAAAAAUAUAAAAAUUAGCCGGGCGCGGUGGCGGGUGCCUGUAAUCCCAGCUACUCGAGAGGCUAAGGCAGGUGAAUUGCUUGAACCCAGGAGGCGGAGUUUGCAGUUAGCCGAGAUCGCACCAUGCAUUCUAGCCUGGGCGAUAGUGCGAGACUCCAUCUCAAAAAAAAAAAAAAAAAAAAAAAAAGUAAAAAAGUAAAAAGAAACAUGAAAUUAAUUUUAAUGCAUAUAUUUUAAGAUUGAACAUAGAACCAAUUCAACAUAUAAUCAAUACAAAAAAUUAUUAAUGAGAUAUUUAACAUUUCCUUAUUUUGUACGAAGUCUUCUGAAUCUGGUGCAUUUUUAUACUUGCAGCAUAUCUUGAUUUGGAUUAACUACAUUUCAAGUCCCCAGUCAGCACAUGAUGUGGCUAUCCUUGUGGACAGUGCAGCCUUAACAAAUCAGCAUAGUGUGGUGAUGACAAGCACAGCUUUCAGUCCCACAGGAUGGCUCCAGAGCCAGUCCAGCCCAGAUCCAAAUACCUGUCAAACCACUGUCUCUGGCUGUGGCCUUGCUCAAGUUAUUUCAUCUUUCUAAGUUUCAAUUUCCUAUUCUUCAAAUUAUCCCCUACACUAAAAGUAGCCAUGUCACUGAGUUAUUGGGAGGAUAAAUGAGGUAACACAUGCAGAGUGUCCAGUGGAUGGUAAGUACUGACUAAUGGCAGCUAUGAUCAGCAUUCAGAUAAAAACACAGAGCAGGGGCUUAAUUCAUGGGACUGGGUGAGCCAUUUGCAUGGAGGUGACUGCUGGGGCACAAAGAAUACCUAGACAGAACCUUGGAGGCUAAGGACAUCUGGAUGUGAAGGAGGAAGAACAGCUGAAGAAUAGCCACUGCUGAUACCCAGCCAAAGGGGCAGGGCAGCUUUCCCUCUGCAUUAUCUACAAGGCAACUUGUUCCAACCGAGUUGAUUCAAAAGAGUUAACUAUUGCAGAGGAAGGGCUUCCUGAACAACUUUAUUUAUCACAAUACAGAGAGAAAAUAUUAGAGCUGAACAGUUUCAUUCAGUCCAAGCCCUUAUAUUAAAGGUAAGAAAACUAGCUCCCUAAAUGCUGGCAAGGAUGUGGGGAAAGGGGAACUCUUACACAUUGUUGGUGGGAAGGUAAAUUAGUACAGCCACUAUGAAAAACAGUAUGGCGAUUUCUCAAAAAACUGUAAAUAGAACUAUCACAUGAUCCAGCAAUCCCACUGCUGGGUAUAUAUCCAAAAGAAAGGAAAGGAGUGUAUCAAAGAGAAAUCUGCACUCCCAUGGUUAUUGCAGCACUAUUCACAACAGUCAACAUCAUUUGCAACAACAUGGAUAGAACUGGAAGACAUUGUUUAGUGAAGUAAGCUGGCACAGAAAGACAAAUAUCACAUGUUCUCACUCAUUAUGUGGGAGUUAAAAAAAUUGAUUUCAUGCAGAUAGAGAGUAGAAAAAUGGUCACUAGAGGGUGGGAAGAGUAGUGGGGAAGGAGGGAUAAAGAGAGGUUGGUUUAAUGGGUACAAAAACACAAUUAGAAGGAAUAAGAGGCCAGAUGCAGUGGCCCAUGCCUGUAAUCCCAGCACUUUGGGAGGCCAAGGGGGGUGGAUCACCUGAAGGCAGGAGUUCAAGACCAGCCUGGCCAACAUGGAGAAACCCCGUCUCUACUAAAAAUACAAAAAUUAGCCAGGCGUGGUAGCCGUCGCCUGUAAUUCCCAGUUACUUGGGAGGCUGAGGCAGGAGAAUUGCUUGAACCAGGGAGGUGGAGGUUGCAGUGAGCCGAGAUUGCGCCACUGCACUCCAGACUGGGCGACAAUAGUGAGACUCUGUUUCAAGAAAAAAAAAAAGAAAAUGUAGCACUUUGGGAGGCCGAGGCGGGCGGAUCAUGAGGUCAGGAGAUUGAGACUACGGUGAAACCCCAUCUCUACUAAAAAUACAAAAAAUUAGCCGGGCGCAGUGGGGUGGCAGGCACCUGUAGUCCAAGCUACUCUGGAGGCUGAGGCAGGAGAAUGGUGUGAACCUGGGAGGCGGAGCUUGCAGUGAGCUGAGAUUGCACCACUGCACUCCAGCCUGGGUGACAGAGCGAG